AGAGCGAACGCUGGCGGCAGGCCUAAUACAUGCAAGUCGAACGGAUCCUUCGGGAUUAGUGGCGGACGGGUGAGUAACACGUGGGAACGUGCCCUUUGGUUCAGAACAACUCAGGGAAACUUGAGCUAAUACUGGAUAAGCCCUUCGGGGGAAAGAUUUAUCGCCAUUGGAGCGGCCCGCGUCUGAUUAGCUAGUUGGUAGGGUAAAGGCCUACCAAGGCUACGAUCAGUAGCUGGUCUGAGAGGAUGAUCAGCCACACUGGGACUGAGACACGGCCCAGACUCCUACGGGAGGCAGCAGUAGGGAAUCUUGCGCAAUGGGCGAAAGCCUGACGCAGCCAUGCCGCGUGAAUGAUGAAGGUCUUAGGAUUGUAAAAUUCUUUCAGCGGGGACGAUAAUGACGGUACCCGCAGAAGAGCCCGGCUAACUCGCGCCAGCAGCCGC
rnacentral:rRNA from 1 species